GAUGAACGCUAGCGGCAGGCUUAAUACAUGCAAGUCGUGGGGCAGCAUGAAGUAGCAAUACUUUGAUGGCGACCGGCAAACGGGUGCGGAACACGUACACAACCUUCCUUUUAGUGGGGAAUAGCCCAGAGAAAUUUGGAUUAAUACCCCGUAACAUAGCGAUGUGGCAUCACAUUGCUAUUAUAGCUUCGGCGCUAGACGAUGGGUGUGCGUAUGAUUAGAUAGUUGGCGAGGUAACGGCUCACCAAGUCUACGAUCAUUAGCUGAUGUGAGAGCAUGAUCAGCCACACGGGCACUGAGACACGGGCCCGACUCCUAGUGGAGGCAGCAGUAAGGAAUAUUGGUCAAUGGACGAAGGUCUGAACCAGCCAUGCCGCGUGAAGGAUUAAGGUCCUCUGGAUUGUAAACUUCUUUUAUAUGGGACGAAAAAAGGUCUUUCUAGAUCACUUGACGGUACCAUAUGAAUAAGCACCGGCUAACUCCGUGCCAGCCGCCGCCGUAACAC
rnacentral:rRNA from 1 species